UACGUAGGCAGCGAGCGUUGUUCGGAAUUACUGGGCGUAAAGAGUGUGUAGGCGGCUUCGUAAGUUGGAUGUGAAAUCCCACGGCUCAACCGUGGACGUGCAUCCAAAACUACGUCGCUGGAGUCUCGGAGAGGAAGGUGGAAUGCUUGGUGUAGAGGUGAAAUUCGUAGAUAUCAAGCAGAACACCUGCGGCGAAGGCGGCCUUCUGGACGAUGACUGACGCUGAGACGCGAAAGCGUGGGGAGCAAACAGG
rnacentral:rRNA from 1 species